rnacentral:misc_RNA from 1 species
GAUGAAGAACGUAGCGAAAUGCGAUAAGUAAUGUGAAUUGCAGAAUUCAGUGAAUCAUCGAAUCUUUGAACGCACAUUGCGCCCCCUGGUAUUCCGGGGGGCAUGCCUGUCCGAGCGUCAUUGCUGCCCUCAAGCACGGCUUGUGUGUUGGGCCCCGCCCCCCGGCUCCCGGGGGGCGGGCCCGAAAGGCAGCGGCGGCACCGCGUCCGGUCCUCGAGCGUAUGGGGCUUCGUCACCCGCUCCGUAGGCCCGGCCGGCGCCCGCCGGCGACCCCCCUCAAUCUUUUCAGGUUGACCUCGGAUCAGGUAGGGAUACCCGCUGAACUUAAGCAUAUCAAUAAGCGGAGGA